CACCGCGGUUAUACGAGAGGCUCAAGUUGACAGACAACGGCGUAAAGCGUGGUUAAGGAAAAACAUACAAUUAAAGCGGAACCUCCUCCUAGCUGUUAUACGCUUCCGAGGAAGUGAACCCCAACUACGAAAGUGGCUUUAUCUAACCUGAACCCACGAAAGCUAAGAAA
rnacentral:rRNA from 1 species